GACGAACGCUGGCGGCGUGCCUAAUACAUGCAAGUAGAACGCACAGUUUAUACCGUAGCUUGCUACACCAUAGACUGUGAGUUGCGAACGGGUGAGUAACGCGUAGGUAACCUGCCUGGUAGCGGGGGAUAACUAUUGGAAACGAUAGCUAAUACCGCAUAAUAUUGAUUAUUGCAUGAUAAUUGAUUGAAAGAUGCUAUUGCAUCACUACCAGAUGGACCUGCGUUGUAUUAGCUAGUAGGUGAGGUAACGGCUCACCUAGGCGACGAUACAUAGCCGACCUGAGAGGGUGAUCGGCCACACUGGGACUGAGACACGGCCCAGGAUCCUACGGGAGGCAGCAGUAGGGGAUCUUCGGCAAUGGACGAAAGUCUGACCGAGCAACGCCGCGUGAGUGAAGAAGGUUUUCGGAUCGGAAAGCUCUGUUGUAAGAGAAGAAAGGGUGUGAGAGUGGAAAGUUCACACUGUGACGGUAUCUUACCAGAAAGGGACGGCUAACUACGUG
rnacentral:rRNA from 1 species